AAUAACAAAAAUGCAUUCUCCACACUUGCCGCUUUCGAGUUUUUUCCAGACAAAAACAUCAGAUUUAAAAAGGAAUUCAUACUCACCAAAUUCACAGUUCCUGAUUACAAAUCGAGGUUCUUGAAAUCUAAAAUCCAACAUCCAAAUGGCAUCCUUUACUUCUUCUUCUUCUUCAGUAUUUUCACCAAUAUGCCCCGUUUUUUCUCAACCCAAACUGAACCUUAAUUUCAAAACCACUUGUAGCUCUUCCAAAUCUUCAUUUUUCCAAUAUGGUUUCUCUUUACCAACCACCAAAUUAUCAGGUUCUUCAUUGAAAUCUAAGCUUCUGGGCACCAUCUAUGCUAGAGCUGCUACUGAAAAGACUAUUUAUGAUUUCAGUGUUAAGGAUAUUGAUGGGAAAGAUGUUUCACUUAGCACAUUUAAAGGAAAAGUUCUUCUAAUUGUCAAUGUUGCUUCCAGAUGUGGCUUGACGACAUCAAAUUACACUGAGCUCUCUCAUGUGUAUGACAAGUAUAAAAAUCAAGGGCUUGAGAUUCUUGCUUUUCCAUGUAAUCAGUUUGGGGCUCAAGAGCCAGGAUCAAAUCCAGAGAUUAAACAGUUUGCUUGCACACGGUUUAAAGCUGAAUUCCCAAUUUUUGACAAGGUUGACGUGAAUGGCCCAAACACGGCACCAGUUUAUCAGUUCCUAAAAUCUAGUGCAGGAGGAUUUUUAGGUGAUCUGGUUAAGUGGAACUUUGAGAAGUUUCUUGUGGACAAAAAUGGUAAAGUUGUUGAGAGGUAUCCACCAACAACGUCGCCUUUCCAAAUAGAGCCGAGGGUCUUUCGGAAAUAGCCUCCUUAUCUUCCGAGAUAGGGGUAUGGUCUGCGUACACUUUACCCUCCCCAGACCCCACAUUGUGGGAUUUCACUGGAAGGAUAUUCAGAAACUUUUGGCAGCAUAACUUGUCUGGAGAUUGGUUCCUGCUUUAUGUACAUAUGAGAGAGGAAAAUGAAGCCUUUUAUGUGUUUACAAUUAAAUGUUUCACUCUCAACUUUUGCUUAAAAAUGACAUGAAAAUUAGAUA